GCGGGCGUAAUUCAGUGGAAGAAUGUCAGCUUCCCAAGCUGAAAGUCGGGGGUUCGAAUCCCCUCGCCCGCUCCA
rnacentral:tRNA from 1 species